UUCUACUUUUGUUCUUCUGUAGGUUGGUACAGGUCUUGGGCCUACACUGGAGUUUUAUGCACUUGUAUCUCAGGAACUACAGAGAGCUGACUUGGGUCUCUGGAGAGGUGAAGAAGUGACUCUUAGCAAUCCAAAAGGAAGCCAAGAAGGGACCAAGUAUAUUCAAAACCUCCAGGGCCUGUUUGCGCUUCCCUUUGGUAGGACGGCUAAGCCAGCUCACAUCGCAAAGGUUAAGAUGAAGUUUCGCUUCUUAGGAAAAUUAAUGGCCAAGGCUAUCAUGGAUUUCAGAUUGGUGGACCUUCCCCUUGGCUUACCCUUUUAUAAGUGGAUGCUUAGGCAGGAAACUUCACUGACAUCGCAUGAUUUGUUUGACAUUGACCCGGUUGUAGCCAGAUCAGUGUAUCACCUAGAAGACAUUGUCAGACAGAAGAAAAGACUUGAACAAGAUAAAUCCCAGGUAAGCUUAGAAGAUGA